UCCAGCACAAGAUUUUGAUGUGGAAAACCUGCUAAGCAGAUUCGAGGAAGUACACAAUUUUGUAGUCCUAUUUUAAUGUUGAAAUCCUUAAUAUGCAUUCUCAUUUAUCACUGCAGCUUUCCCUGACUGUAACAAGAACCACAGAGCAAGCAACGGAAGGAGAGGACAUGUCCAAGGUUUUCUGGAAUCAUGACUCAGGAUUCUAUGACUGUUGAGGACUGGGUGGAGGAAGCGCGGAGGUCGUUGGCUGCGCGGCAGGCUUCUAUGGCCGAGCAGUCCAACAGAUCAGUAAAGAAUGGGCAUGUGCAUUGUCUGAAUGCCAACAACUGGAACGCCUCUUGGAGAUUGGUGAUGUUGGGGAAGCAGUAACCCAGUGUGCUGUUUUUGGUUCGAAAAAGGUUUAUUACAGAAGUCUGCCUCCACUGGACAGUACCAGAUGAGAUGGUCCACUCAAUUUCUUUAUGACCAAGUCUGCAGUGUCAUGCACAUUUACCAAGU
ensembl:lncRNA